rnacentral:rRNA from 1 species
GUUGUAUGGUUAAGUGACUAAGCGUACACGGUGGAUGCCUUGGCAGUCAGAGGCGAUGAAAGACGUAGUAACUUGCGAUAAGCCCAGAUUAGGUAGUAACAACCAUUUGAGUCUGGGAUUUCUGAAUGGGGAAACCCACUAGCAUAAGCUAGUAUCGUUAUGUGAAUACAUAGCAUAACGAGGCGAACCGGGGGAACUGAAACAUCUAAGUACCCCGAGGAAAA